rnacentral:lncRNA from 1 species
CUGUGGUGUGGGUUUAUGGAGACUUAUAUAGACUGGGUCCUGGAUCCUGUUCCUUACCCCAUGGUGGGGACAGAGCCACCAUGCUGGGAGCAAGCAGGAAGACCAGAGAGAACCAACGGAUGAACAGCGGGGACACGGAGAUGUGAUACCCUCCAGAUAAGCAGAAACACGCUUCCCCUCCAUGCAGCAUCUAAUCCCUACUGGCUACAAGUCAUUUUCAAGACUACAGACAUGUUGUCGUGACUGGUGAAGGGAGUGGAGAUGUCUGGGCUCCUAGAGAGAUGACAGAAGAUAGUGGUAACACCAGCAUCAAAACUGGUGCUUGGAGAAGUCUAGACAGCCUGAGGAGCUGGGAUGGGGUGGGCAUUCUGACAUUGGCUCUACACCUGACUCACCACCUGACCCUGAGCAAAUCCUGCACAUUUCCACACCUCAGCUUUUCCAUACGUAAAUUGGAGAGAGUGGCAUUGGAUUCCCUUCCCGGGGCGUUGUGGGCGUGACUCACCACAGCCCAGGAUCCAACAACAUAAAAUGAGCCAUAGAGACUUAUGCAAUUGCUUUCCCAAGAGCCAGGUUAUUAACUGGGAUCUUGAGGAAGGGACAGUGAUGCAAUGCUGGAAGAAGUGGAAGAUCUUUUCAGAAGCAAUAAUUAAUCAAAGUGUGGAUAAGACCUGGAAGGGGCCAAUUCUGGAGAUUCCCUGUGCCAAGGCAGCAGCUUUCUUGCCACACCAGAACAUUUGGGAUUCAGGGGCGCAAAAUCCAAACACAAAGCAACGUAAGAGAACCUCGCAACGUGCCAUGAGAAACUCUCUGUGCUCAGGCUGUUAUUUCUAGACAUGAUCCAAAACCAACACUCGGGUUCCAAAUUUGCUGUUUGUAUUCUGCUUGGCUCCUUCCCUCCUCACUCUGCUCCAGGGGAGAGACACAGGUGAAAUUUUAAAGGAAGAACUCAAUCCCUAGCUGCUUCCCUUUGGCUGUUUUCCUACUGGUUCUAGUGACACAGAAUAAACUCAGACUUAUAAACUCUUUGGCUUCUGCA